rnacentral:rRNA from 1 species
CCGUGGCCGGCACGACAAAGGUGGAUAUGUGGAGGAGCCGUGGAAGCACCCCUGCGCGCGCCCUCGCGUGGCGGCUCCACCCGCUGCCUGCUGCUGCCUUGAAAGUUGCAACGCCGCUGCUCUCUGCACUUUCAGCAAUCAUGGCAGCCCCAAGCCAUGCUGUUCUCGAUGCCAUAUUUUCUAAUUCGAAAUCUUUGCAUUUUUUUUGGUAUUUGCUGGGAUUGACCGUGAUGGUAAGGUGCCUAAUACAGACAAGGCACCACGCAGGAAGCUUCUCAUUAACGGGCACUGCCAUGUGGGUGUGGGAGGUCUGCGGCAACGCCUUCCGCUAUAGUGCUGUUCCCCCCAUCAUCAUAUCUGAUUCGGACUCCAUCGCUGCUACCUCAUCAAUCUCUCUCCCAGGUGGAGGCGCGUAUUAGGCAUUUAGCCAUGGGUUGCCCAUAGCUUGGACAAAUCAGUGGCUGGAUAUCUAUGUUGCCUAUAUACAUGUGCUUACUUUAAAAGACACACAUCAUCAGCACAAGGUCACUCUGUUUUUUACUUUUUCUUUAACCAGAAAUAUGGACUUAACACACAUAUAUUUUCAUUCUCAUGUAAUGGGAUAUAUCUUGGAA